GACGAACGCUGGCGGCGUGCUUAACACAUGCAAGUCGAACGCUGAAGCUUGGUGCUUGCACUGGGUGGAUGAGUGGCGAACGGGUGAGUAAUACGUGAGUAACCUGCCCUUGACUCUGGGAUAAGCCUGGGAAACUGGGUCUAAUACUGGAUACGACAUGUCACCGCAUGGUGGUGUGUGGAAAGGGUUUUACUGGUUUUGGAUGGGCUCACGGCCUAUCAGCUUGUUGGUGGGGUAAUGGCUCACCAAGGCGACGACGGGUAGCCGGCCUGAGAGGGUGACCGGCCACACUGGGACUGAGACACGGCCCAGACUCCUACGGGAGGCAGCAGUGGGGAAUAUUGAACAAUGGGCGGAAGCCUGAUGCAGCGACGCCGCGUGAGGGAUGACGGCCUUCGGGUUGUAAACCUCUUUCAGCACGGAAGAAGCGAAAGUGACGGUACGUGCAGAAGAAGCGCCGGCUAACUACGUG
rnacentral:rRNA from 1 species